GAGUUUGAUCCUGGCUCAGAAUGAACGUUGGCGGCGUGGAUUAGGCAUGCAAGUCGUGCGAGAAGUGUUCUUUGCUUGCAUUGAACGCGGACAGCGGCGAAAGGGAGAGUAACGUGUGGUUACACGCCUCGGGGUCCAGGAUAGCGUCGGGAAACUGGCGGUAAUACUGGAUGAUAUCUAAGGAUCAAAGGUGUGAUUCCGCCCUGAGAUUGGACCGCAUACUAUUAGCUUGUUGGUGAGGUAAUGGCUCACCAAGGCUUCGAUGGUUACCGGGUGUGAGAGCAUGGCCCGGCUCACUGGGACUGAGACACUGCCCAGACACCUACGGGUGGCUGCAGUCGAGAAUCUUCGGCAAUGGACGAAAGUCUGACCGAGCGACGCCGCGUGCGGGAUGAAGGCCUUCGGAUUGUAAACCGCUGUCAGUUGGAAGGAAAGGUUUGCGAAGAGCAAACCCUGACCGAUCUUCAGAGGAAGGACGGGCUAAGUUCGUGCCAGCAGCCGCGGUAAGACGAACCGUCCAAACGUUAUUCGGUAUUACUGGGCUUAAAGCGUGCGUAGGCGGCCUAGAAGGUGAGAUGUGAAAUCCCACGGCUCAACCGUGGAACUGCGUUUCAAACCACUAGGCUUGAGGAAGACAGGGGUGUUGGGAACUUAUGGUGGAGCGGUGAAAUGCGUUGAUAUCAUAGGGAACACCGGUGGCGAAGGCGCAACACUGGGUCUUUUCUGACGCUGAGGCACGAAAGCUAGGGUAGCGAACGGGAUUAGAUACCCCGGUAGUCCUAGCCG
rnacentral:rRNA from 1 species